ensembl:snRNA U2 U2 spliceosomal RNA
AUCGUUUCUCGGCCUUUUGGCUAAGAUCAAGUGUAGUAUCUGUUCUUAUCAGUUUAAUAAGUUGAGAGAUUUGUCAUCAUAUUUACUUGAAAAUUUAAGUAUCACCUACCCCAC